GAUGAACGCUAGCUACAGGCUUAACACAUGCAAGUCGAGGGGUAGCAGGGUAGCAAUACCGUUGACGACCGGCGCACGGGUGAGUAACACGUAUCCAACCUUCCCAUAACUCGGGGAUAGCCUUUCGAAAGAAAGAUUAAUACCCGAUAGUACUUUUUCAAGGCAUCUUGAGAAAGUUAAAGAUUUAUUGGUUAUGGAUGGGGAUGCGUUCCAUUAGAUAGUUGGUGAGGUAACGGCUCACCAAGUCUUCGAUGGAUAGGGGUUCUGAGAGGAAGGUCCCCCACAUUGGUACUGAGACACGGACCAAACUCCUACGGGAGGCAGCAGUGAGGAAUAUUGGUCAAUGGGCGAGAGCCUGAACCAGCCAAGUAGCGUGAAGGAUGAAGGUCCUAUGGAUUGUAAACUUCUUUUAUAGUAGAAUAAAGUGAUCCACGUGUGGAUUUUUGUAUGUAUACUAUGAAUAAGGAUCGGCUAACUCCGUGCCAGCCGCCGCGGUAA
rnacentral:rRNA from 1 species